GCCCGGAUGGUGGAAUUGGUAGACACGCAGGACUUAAAAUCCUGUGGCCAGGAAUGGCCGUGCGGGUUCAAGUCCCGCCCCGGGUA
rnacentral:tRNA from 1 species